AUACAAUAAUACAAUAUUUGUAUUAUUGAUUGCACAGUAUAGUUGUUAAUACAUAUCAAAAGGGCAAAGGGCUCUAUGCCUUCUGUCGACAGGGAAACAUGGAAAUUAUAGAUAAACGUGGUCUCUCAAAACUUUAGAAUCUGAGAACAGAAUAGUAAAAUUAUACAAUCGGUUGUAAUCGGUCCGAUUUCACCUUAAUGUAUAUAUUAUUACUAGUCGAUUGCUCCCAUCUAGUGCAAUUUACAAAGUCAUCGUGGUACGCAGCGUGUUUCAUAAGCGCACACAAGGCACGUAAGCAGUAAGACGGUGAUCGAUUUUUAACUUGAAAGCAGUGCUAAAAUUUAGCCCUAAGAGGUGUUACUUUUCUUAUGGGUUAGGUGCUUAACUAUAACCAUUAAUAGAAUGGAUAGUAAUAGACAUUCAGUAUUACGCAUAGUCUAACGGUGAUCAGAAGCCUACCAUAACACAAUGCUGUUCCGUCUGCAUGUUACAAUCUGUAGUUAUUAAUACGUUUCAUUAAAAGAAAUCAUACUUCUUCCAGUGCCAACGCCCAUGUUUCACGCGCAGCUGGAUUGGGUUUCGUGGAAAGGAAGCUGGUUGCGGUCGUAUAUAUGUACAUGUAUAUGGUCUGAACAGCCGAGCGCUUGAAAGGUGUAGCGCGCGCGCUCUUCCAGGUUCAACGUUGCUCACACUUUGUCCCGUGCCCAGACGACCUCUCGACAACUCCGCGACUUGCCGUGAAUGUUUCAGUUUUAAACAAAUUAGAAUUAUGCGCUGAAAUUUAGAAACAGCUCAUCAAAAAGUUGUAUUAAAGUUUUUUUUUGUUUUUUUUUUUGGUAAGCAUCAUAACUCAAUGAUCAAGAUAGCUAAAAUACACUGUUCUUUUUGGCUCAACAAGUUGGUUGUACUUUAGAUUUCCAUGGGCAUUUGAUGUCUUCGUCACAGUAAUAACUAGUAUUACUAGCAAUUGACCUGGAGAUGUCUGGCAUGAGCGCACCAUAACACCGAAAAGCCGCGAAAACUGAUUUCUUGUUUUAACUUUUCCAUUUAAGUGGGCCCUUCUCCCAGCAUGCCUCGCUCCUUCCUGGUCAGGAGUAGAAGGGGCGGGGCCCACAUACCACGGCCUGCAGAGGACAGCGGUGUCCGUGGCUCCACCCAAUCGCAGGGGCGCUUCCUGCUACCAGAGCCGCAGUCUCCCGGAAGCCCCGCCCCUAAAGUGGUCAACCCCACCUACUCGACCAAAGGGGUUACCACGACAGCGGUUGCAGAGACAGCAGUUACUGGGACAGCGGUUGCCGGGACAGCAGUUACUGGGACAGCGGUUACCGGGACAGCAGUGGCCCCAUCCACAGCAGGGUUGAACCCCAUGCUGCCCUCUCCCUACAGCACCCAGUACAUUAACCUGUGCUGGCC